rnacentral:rRNA from 1 species
CUUGGUCAUUUAGAGGAAGUAAAAGUCGUAACAAGGUUUCCGUAGGUGAACCUGCGGAAGGAUCAUUAUCUAUUCCAUGAGGUGCGGUCGCGGCCCUCGGCGGGAGCAACAGCUACCGUCGGGCGGUAGAGGUAACACUUUCACGCGCCGCAUGUCUGAAUCCUUUUUUUACGAGCACCUUUCGUUCUCCUUCGGCGGGGCAACCUGCCGUUGGAACCUAUCAAAACCUUUUUUUGCAUCUAGCAUUACCUGUUCUGAUACAAACAAUCGUUACAACUUUCAACAAUGGAUCUCUUGGCUCUGGCAUCGAUGAAGAACGCAGCGAAAUGCGAUAAGUAGUGUGAAUUGCAGAAUUCAGUGAAUCAUCGAAUCUUUGAACGCACAUUGCGCCCCUUGGUAUUCCAUGGGGCAUGCCUGUUCGAGCGUCAUCUACACCCUCAAGCUCUGCUUGGUGUUGGGCGUCUGUCCCGCCUCUGCGCGCGGACUCGCCCCAAAUUCAUUGGCAGCGGUCCUUGCCUCCUCUCGCGCAGCACAUUGCGCUUCUCGAGGUGCGCGGCCCGCGUCCACGAAGCAACAUUAUCGUCUUUGACCUCGGAUCAGGUAGGGAUACCCGCUGAACUUAAGCAUAUCAAUAAGCGG